AACGCACAUUGCGCCCUUUGGUAUUCCGAAGGGCAUGCCUAUUCGAGCGUCAUUAUCAACCCUCAAGCCCGGCUUGUUAUUGGGUCCCUUAUCGUUAAAGAUAGGCCCGAAAGAUAAUGGCGGUGUCAUGAAUGACCCCAGGUGCAGCGAGCUUACAGCAUACACUUUGGUGGUUUUUGUGGCCCCGGCCCCUUUUGUUUUGGGUAACCAAAACUAUUUCAAAGGUUGACCUCGGAUUAGGUAGGAAUACCCGCUGAACUUAA
rnacentral:misc_RNA from 1 species